UUAGCUUCUCUUCUCGCCUCCCUGUAGAACAACCUGUUCACUCUCCGCUCCUCCUCGCUUGUGCUCCCUGCCAACCUAGCGAACGCCGCCUUCUUCCCCUCCACUUUUCCUUUGACUACCUCGUUCCACCACCAAUCACCCUGGUGUCUGCCUGAAUAUCCUUUAGCUACCCCGAGCACGUUCCGUGCUACCCCCCUAACCAAGUUCGCCGUCACUGUCCACAUAGCGUCCGCUUCCCCAUAACUAACUGGUUCCCAGAUAUAGUUGUCUCCUCCCUCACCCGCCCCUCAAUCACCCUCUCCCAAACCUUCAUCGUGUGGCUUAUUAGUUUGAUACCCUUAUAGUUGGUGCAGCACUGGAUGUCCCCUUUGUUCUUGUACAAGGGCACCAC
rnacentral:lncRNA from 1 species